UGAUGACAUGCUGUUUGCCUUAUGAGUGU
rnacentral:piRNA from 2 species